CUCUAAAUGCAUUACUAUUUGUUUUCGUGACAAACUCCAUUAUACGCAUAACAUAGUUAUGUAGUAUUUCUUCUAAUUCUCCAUUUCCUCUCUGAUGUUUUUGUGUCUUGCAAACGGUUAAGCAUUACAUAAAACGUGAUGAAACAAAAUGCAAAAUACGGCUGAAUAAUACAAUACGCCGGUGUAAACAACGCGGUGUUUGGAUGGUAUUCUACGAGUACGUUCGUUUUGUCUGCCUAUCAAUUUCCACAGCUAAUGUCAGAUCAGCUGAUCCAUUCUUCGGGACGAAGAAUCUAAGCGGAGGGUAAUGUUACGAUCGUGGAGGUUUACGAUCAUGGACACUGGACAGCGUGGAUUGCAUGGCUGUAUGUAUCUUUAUGGUGAUAUUGAAGCAAGUGAUAUAAAAUAGAAGCAAAUGAUAUUUAUUUCUUUGCCGCAUUAUUCGGCUGUGCCAUCCGGAUCGGCAACGGAGUCCUCCAGUUCCGGUACACAGCCGACCGGCGCGGGACAGCGGCGCUUCUUUCCGUCCACGCCGGACAUUGCGCUGAACUACAAUGGAAUCAUCAAUAAACCAAGGGAAUCAACAUUGAUUUACCAGAAUCAGUGUAUUAAUCAGAUAUUUUCGACAAAUAUCAUGAGCAUCAUGAUGGCGUACCGUAGCGAGCACUGCAACCAACAGCACCAUCCAAAGGAGCCUCACUGUUUGCAUGGUUUCUUUCUUUUUAAGUUAAGGAAUAUACAGGCAAAGAAAUCUCUUAUGCGCAGAACAUUUAUUUGCGGUAAACGGUUUGUGAAACGCUGAUAUACAUAAACGAGCGUUUUAUAUACAAACUACAAAGCACAGACUAUGUUAGCAUAGGUAAAUG